rnacentral:misc_RNA from 1 species
UGUGGGAGCGAGCCUGCUCGCGAAAAGAUCGCUGCGGUGUAUUAGAAAAAUACAUCGCCUGAAUCGCGAGCAGGCUCGCUCCCACA